UGGCAGAGAGGCGGCUGGCCCUGUGUCUGCACCCGGCUGGCGGAGGAGACCCCAAAGGCCAGGAAACAUGGAGGCACCAGCCUGCAAGGCUUUCUCAGCCUGAAAUUUCCCACCUUAAGUUACCUAAAGUCCAUACUUUGAAUGCCACCAAUUAGAGAAUUGCUGAAAAUACUGGGAAUUACUCCGCUUGCAAAAUGGAAUCUCCUCCUUCCUGAGAGAACCCUUUGUUUCUGGCAACUUUAGCUUGACCUGAAUACACAUCGGAGAUCUCCCUGUGAGCGACCUCAUGGCCUUCCAGAGCCCAGAAGGAUCCACUUCCUCAGGGAGGCUUCCCUCAGGUAGGCAACUACAGUUACUGAGAGAGAAGAGGCAGGGAGAACAGU